UCAUCUUCAGUCCGAUCCUUGUAGUCGAGGUCGUUGAUGGCUGCAGCGGCGAUACGGUUUCCACUGGUGAUGUCACGAAGGAUCAAGGAGGAAUCGUGAAAGUGUCGUGGCCGUCGUGCAGCCUACUGUCAACUAUUUUCUUCAAAAUCAUUGUAUUCUACUGAAUGUGUCAUCGAAAUGAUAUAGAUCACCAACCCCAGCAUGGACCAAUCUCUCAUUCCAUCUUGUAGAGAACCUUGUAUAACUGAUUAGCGGUUUCAUGUGUUCUAAAUUACAGGAUUCUAAUUUUGCAUGACAGACUUUAUGAGAAGUCAUAUCCUAUGAAGACAAAGGACAAGGACUGUACAGUCAACAAGGUCCCUUGUUUGCUAACCUGUUGGCUGCUACCCUUGAAUCUCUCUUGUUUACUUCCUUAAACAGGCCUCUUGAUUUGAGGGUAACUCCUUCGCUACUUGUCAUGGACUUCAUCCACUGGUGAAAACUGACGCGAGAAUGCUGUGAUUCAAGACUGAUAAAUUUAUUCGAGACUGAUAAAUUGUGUAGUUUUUAGAUAAAUUACAAAUGGAUAUCUGGGCUCCCUUCUUUUCUGUGGCCCCGUUUCCCUAACUAACCACUAACCAACGCCCGCCGGUGGUCACU